rnacentral:lncRNA from 1 species
AUGGGAAAUCACUUGCGUGUGAUCCUUUAUCUGCUUCAUCUCGGAGUUACCGCUCCCCCCGUGGCUGUUUGGAGCAGCCAGAGAGGACUUGAUUCUUGUAUCCCAGACCUUAAACCACAGCCUAACAGGCUCCAAGGGAUCCUCCCUGCCUGGGGCGUUGUUUGUGGGACUGCUGGUGGCUCUGCAGCCGGGAUCCCAAGGAGCGUUCCCAUCCCAUCACCACUGCCUGCAGCAUCGGGAUCACGGCCACCCAGGGAGUUGGACAUCAUGGAACUGGACACACACCAGGGAAAUCAACGUUCUGAUGGAAAAUCCCAGGGGAGCUCAGGAGCCUGGGCUGGCCUGUGUUGUUCUGUUUUGGACAGAAUUCCGGCAGGAUCCUUGCAAGCAGAGGACCCAGCACACGGCGGGAGGGACUUGGGGUGGUUCAACUGGAGCAUCACCACCUGA